rnacentral:lncRNA from 1 species
UUUUGUUUCUGCUUUGUGCGCCUGUGUUCCAGUAAUUACUUUCCGUGUAGCAAAAAUGGCAGGCAAGGCCUCGAUCGCACUGUUCCUCGCCGUCAACCUGGCCGUGUUCGCCAUGGCCAGCGCCUGCGGUGGCAGCUGCCCAACGCCGUCGACCCCGUCGACGCCUACCCCAACGCCGGCCUCGUUCGGCAAGUGCCCCCGCGACGCGCUGAAGCUUGGCGUGUGCGCCAACGUGCUGGGCCUCAUCAAGGCCAAGAUCGGCGUGCCGCCCACCGAGCCCUGCUGCCCGCUGCUGGAAGGUCUCGUCGACCUCCAGGCCGCCGUGUGCCUCUGCACCGCCAUCAAGGGCAACAUCCUCGGCAUCAACCUCAACCUGCCAAUCGACGUCAGCCUCAUCCUCAACCACUGCGGCAAGACCGUGCCCACCGGGUUCAAGUGCCUCUAAGCAUUCUACCGCGUGCUCGAGAAUCGCGAUGUAUGCGGAUCGGAUGUCUUGACG